GGGGUCACUUACCGGUCCGUCUCCGCAGCUCCUCCAGGCUGCCGCGGAUGAAGGCCUGCGUGGUGCGCGAUCUGAAGGCGAAAUCGCAGGGGAUGGUGUUCCGAUACACCUCUGCCCUUCCUAGCACGGCUUCUUGAUUAUUUCAAUUGUCUUCUUCCUAACUUGAUGUAACUUGAUGAUUUUUUUGAGGACUCUGACAUGGAGUUACACGCAGACUUAGGUUCUUUGCAGGAAUGGGACCCACUCUCGGGGUUUCAGGACUGGCCGUUGUUUGGCACGCCAAGGGUUUGGCCUGAGAGUAGGGCCUAGUGUUUGGAAGCCUAAGUUCUCGGGACUCUGGAGAUGGGUGGAUCGAGGGUCGGUGUCAGGGCAGGAGACUUGCGUGUCAGGGAGGAUGGAAAACCUUUCGCUGUGGGCCCGAAGACCCAAGAUCUUGCGAUCUGCACACUCAUCAGAAGCAAUGAAACAGACUUUUUAACAUCGUAAACCAGCGGGUUACUGUUAUGUCUCCCACUCGCAGUGAAAAUGGGGGACACCUUCCUCUCCCUUAUCAGGGAGAGAGAGAACCUCUGGUUUGUUGAGUGCCAGAUGAAAUGUAAUAGUCUUUAGGGUAACUGCAAGGUCUGUGUCUUUGCUAUCGCCUAGCUGAUGCUUGUGCUCAG